AGAGUUUGAUCCUGGCUCAGGACGAACGCUGGCGGCGUGCUUAACACAUGCAAGUCGAACGAGAAUCUGAUGAAGGAGUUUUCGGACAACUGAUUCAGAGGAAAGUGGCGGACGGGUGAGUAACGCGUGAGGAACCUGCCUUGAAGAGGGGGGACAACAGUUGGAAACGACUGCUAAUACCGCAUGAAGCAUAGAGGUCGCAUGAUCUUUAUGCCAAAGAUUUAUCGCUUCAAGAUGG
rnacentral:rRNA from 1 species